rnacentral:rRNA from 1 species
CCUACGUGAGGCAGCAGUAGGGAAUCUUUCACAAUGGGCGCAAGCCUGAUGGAGCAACGCCGCGUGCAGGAUGAAGGCCUUCGGGUUGUAAACUGCUUUUAUAAGCGAGAAAUAUGAUGGUAACUUAUGACUACUGAUCGGCUAACUACGUGCCAGCAGCCGCGGUCAUACGUAGGAUCCGAGCAUUAUCCGGAGUGACUGGGUGUAAAGAGUUGCGUAGGUGGAAUAAUAAGUAGCUAGUGAAAUCUGGUGGCUCAACCAUUCAGACUAUUAGCUAAACUGUUAAGCUCGAGACCGUUAGGGGGAACUGGAAUUUCUGUGUAGGAGUGAAAUCCGUAGAUAUUAGAAGGAACACCAAUAGCGUAGGCAGGUUGCUGGGACGGUUCUGACACUAAGGCACGAAAGCGUAGGGAGCAAACGGGAUUAGAUACCCGUGUAGUC